rnacentral:rRNA from 1 species
UGAACCCUACGGGGCGCAGCAGUGGGGGAUAUUGCACAAUGGGGGGAACCCUGAUGCAGCGACGCCGCGUGGGUGAAGGAGCGUUUCGGCGCGUAAAGCCCUAUCGGCAGGGAAGAAGAUGACGGUACCUGACCAAGAAGCCCCGGCUAACUACGUGCCAGCAGCCGCGGUAAUACGUAGGGGGCAAGCGUUAUCCGGAUUUACUGGGUGUAAAGGGAGCGUAGACGGCAAUACAAGUCGGAAGUGAAAUACCCGGGCUCAACCUGGGAACUGCUUUGGAAACUGUAUGGCUAGAGUGCUGGAGG